AUCUUAUUUUCACCUGAUGAAUUUUGUAUUAAAAGAUAGGAACUUUUCAGUUAUGUAAAUAUUGCAGACAAUGAAGUACAAUUGGUUUUCUUUUAUUUUGGGGUAUAUAACUGCUUCAAAAAAAGAAAAGUUUAUUAUAUGUAUUAAUCCAUAGACUAAUAAAGAUUGCAAACACACGUGCAUUGAAUAGCAAUCGGUACAUUUUAUAGAUCAAUUGUGCAGAUGUACUAUAAUAGGGUUAAUUUUGGAAAUACCUGUUCUGUCAUCUAAUGUGAUUAUGGUUCGUUAAUUUUCAUUAUCAAUUAGAUAACGUGUAAUUUUAGUUGAAAAGUUGUCAUUUUUGUUUGAAAUCCCGUAGAUUUUUUAAAAAUUUUGUUAUAUAUCAUAUGCUACAAAUAUUUAAUUAAUCCAAGAAAACUUGUUUUACGUUUGGUUUGAUAUUUUGGGCAAAUAAUGAUUUAAAAAUAGCAAAACUUGUUCAAGUUCCAAAGCGAACGAAAAGAAAAUAACAUUUGUAAUAUUGUACUUGAAUUAUUGAUGAUGAAAAUGUUAUCACUAUUUUUUUUAAAAAGUCCUGUUCUUUUUUUGUUUUAUGCUUUCAG
rnacentral:lncRNA from 1 species